GGGGCUGUAGCUCAGUUGGCUAGAGCGCCAGAAUCGCACUCUGGAGGUCAGGGGUUCGAAUCCCCUCAGCUCCA
rnacentral:tRNA from 1 species